GCGGCAGGCUUAACACAUGCAAGUCGAGCGGGGGAAGGUAGCUUGCUACCGGACCUAGCGGCGGACGGGUGCGUAACGCGUGGGAAUUUGCCCUUGGGUUCGGAAUAACAGCGGGAAACUGCUGCUAAUACCGGAUGAUGACGUAAGUCCAAAGAUUUAUCGCCCAGGGAUGAGCCCGCGUAGGAUUAGGUAGUUGGUGGGGUAAAGGCCUACCAAGCCUACGAUCCUUAGCUGGUCUGAGAGGAUGAUCAGCCACACUGGGACUGAGACACGGCCCAGACUCCUACGGGAGGCAGCAGUAGGGAAUAUUGGACAAUGGGGGCAACCCUGAUCCAGCAAUGCCGCGUGAGUGAUGAAGGCCUUAGGGUUGUAAAGCUCUUUUACCCGGGAUGAUAAUGACGGUACCGGGAGAAUAAGCCCCGGCUAACUCCGUGCCAGCCGCCGCAGUAA
rnacentral:rRNA from 1 species